UCUUUGACUUCACUCUCCGAUCCUCUCCAUCCCGUCGUGCCAUGGAGGCGGCCGUCGUCCUGUCCCCUCUCCGCGUCGCCGGCCACUCUUCUCACCUCCCACCCCCUCCCCCCUCCUCGACGGCAUACUGCUUCGCCGCCCGUUCGCGCUCGCUCACCACCGCCAUCCCCUAGCCCCUGCAAAAAUUCCCCAUUCCGGCAGGCCUCUCCGGCCACCACUCUAGCACCGUGCUGGCCAGCGGCCGCGCCGUGCAGCUCCGCCCAAGAUUCGUCACCCAGGAUGACUUGAUCCACCCGCACCUCACCGUCUGCAAGACGCUCGCCUUCUGCGGCAUGCUGCGGCUACCCGCCUCUGCCCCCAACUCGGAACCAUGGAUUCAAAGGUGCAUCACAACAUUGUGGAGGUGUAUAAGUAUGUGCAUCACACGCGUGACAAGACAAGAGGGUGCAGUGCAAGCUUGAUGAGAUGGACAAGAAGGUGAGGCAGGAACGUGAAGCCGUGGACCUGGUGAUGAGGCGGGAGCGCAAGAAGAUGGACUCAAAGUUUAAAAAGUAUCCAUGAGGAGACGGAAAGUUCAUCAGAGAUGGACCGGAAGGUGAUGCAAGAACGUGCGGCCAUGGAUCUGGCUGGCGUAGGAGCGUGAGAAAAUGGAGAAACGGGUCAAGAAGAUCCACAAGGACAUGAACGAGAAGUUGCAGCAGGAACGUGAUGAUAGAGUUGUUUGCCAAUUGGUGUUGAUUUUCAGGUGCUCAGCAGCUUUUUUUGACACCGGGGGCUAAGGGUGUGCAAAAAUCGAAACCGCUCAGACCCGGUCAGGAAUUUCCUAGUUCAAGCUCCUUCACAAAUCAAAUCCCAACUCCGGAGCUAGUACAAAAUAUUGAACUAGCAGAAACCGGCCAAACUGCCCAAACCAUUUUUGCACAGGCUUAGCGGGGGCUAAUGGCCCCCUUGUCGUUGGCCAUUUCCAGUGCAGUUCAAAAUAAAUCAUAAGGCUGCCGGUCAUGCAAAUAAUAUCUCACAGCCGCAUGUUUUUCAUUGUUGUAUGUGUCUCUUGUAAAACAAUCUUUUUUUUUUCAUGGACCAGCGAAAUGUUGCUUGUCAUUUUCA